UCAAGAUGCGCAUGCCAUGGUUCCCCGACAUGCCGCCUGCGGCGCGUCGGGGCUAAGAGGGAAGCCGGUGAAAUGCCGGCGCUGCCCCCGCAACUGUAAGCGGCGAGCCGAUGCCCACGAUGUCACUGAGGCGAUAGCCUUGGGAAGACGGGUGGAGGCGACGACCUGCGAGCCAGGAGACCUGCCGUGGCGAACAACGUCCAC
rnacentral:ncRNA from 1 species